rnacentral:rRNA from 1 species
UACGGAGGAUUCAAGCGUUAUCCGGAUUUAUUGGGUUUAAAGGGUGCGUAGGCGGUCCGGAAAGUCAGCGGUAAAAGCCCGGGGCUCAACCCCGGCGAGCCGUUGAAACUGUCGGACUAGAGACGGCGAGAAGUACGCGGAAUGCGCGGUGUAGCGGUGAGAUGCAUAGAUAUCGCGCAGAACUCCGAUUGCGAAGGCAGCGUACCGGCGCCGGACUGACGCUGAGGCACGAAAGCGUGGGUAUCGAACAGG